AGGGAUAUAGCUCAGUUACUAGAGUGCUUGCCUCACAUGCACAGGACCUGGGUUCAAACCCCGGCAAUCCUC
rnacentral:tRNA from 1 species